AUAUCAUGAUCCUGGUAUGAGCACUGCAUGAAUAAUGUUGUGUUCAGUUCAUUGCUAUCUGAAUCUGGGUUCCGUUUCUCAUGAAACCAAAAAUGGCAAAAAACAAAAAAGAAAAGAAAAGAAAAAGAUAUGGCACCAAUCUCUGCAUCAGUGUUUGUAAACGAAUCUGUCAUAGCCUAUAAACUUGAAAUUCUAUGGAAUGUGUAGCUACCUGAUUGAGAACUUAUCACUAAUGAUGGCUUAUAUAUAUUUGCAGCAAAACCAAGGACGUUUGUUGGAUCGGUUUUCAGCCAAAUGCUUUCAGGUUAGAAAGAAGUGUCUAUGGCCCUCAGACCUGAGAAUAUGUUUUUAUACGUGGGGCAGGCCCGUGGUGUAGUGAUCUAGACUGUUGAUCUGAUGGCCCAUUUUGGAAUUGGGAAUUUCCAAAAAAUCUCACUGAUAUGACAAUCCUAACUGAUUGGGAAGAAGAAACAACAACAGCUUCAAGAUGUGCCGAGAUCUCCAAGCCCGACUGGCUGCUGCAGAGGCAGAAAGGGUAGCAGCUGAACAGGAGAAGCGUGAAAAGGAGGAAUCUUUUUCUUUUUUCUUUUGCUGAACAAGAACUCAUCAUGGAAAGGGUGGUCCAAGAGUCAAAGAAACUUCAGCAGGAAGCAGAGGAGAAUGCGAAGCUACGGGAGUUCUUAAUGGACCGUGGUCAUGUUGUCAAUGUAUUGCAGU